AAGUCGUAACAAGGUUUCCGUAGGUGAACCUGCGGAAGGAUCAUUAACAAAUUUUCCCAACCAAACACGUUUGUGAACUGUUAUCAAGUCCAUGGUGUGCCCCGUCCUGGGCUGCAUUGACUACUUUGUAGUCUUGCAAUUCAGGCGGACCAUCGUGUUUAUUUACGUCUGACUUACAACUGAACUGAGACUUUAUUUUAAAUAAAGACAACUUUUAGCAACGGAUCUCUAGGCUCUC
rnacentral:misc_RNA from 1 species